GAAAAGCUCCUCGUUUCAAUCACGGUACUUCUCCAAAUCUCUACACUCAUCCCUUCCAAAUCCUCCAUCAGCGGCGCAUCUCAGCUUUCUAAUUUCAUGUAAUUAAUUUCUCUUUUUCCAAUGGAUCUUCUUCGUCACGCUCUCUUCCGUUCCUCCUCCUCCUCCGCCGCCGCUCUGCUGCCAUUGUUCGGUUGUUCCUCUGAGUUUUUGGCGUCUUCCGCCGCUGCCGCGACCACUCGCGUCGGACGAUCUCUCUCUAUCAUCCUUUGCGUCGCACGAGCCCCCUCCCUGUGAUUCUGUUGUUUAGGUUUCUAUCACAUGCUGGUAUCUCAAAACAGAUGCUUAAAUAUUAAUGAAAAAUAAAAUUAGCUUUGUCUAUGACCUACUUGGCUGAGGAGUGAGGAGCAGAUAUUCCGAUAUGAUAUCAAGUUUGGUGGAAAAGCCUAAACAGCUUUUCAUGAAAGAUAUCAGGAUGCUGCCCAAGUAUAAUGUCACUGCCACGUUAAGAGUUUCUUCAUGUGAAACCUGGAAAAGGAGCAGCAUUUGUGAGAACCAAGCUCAAGAACUAUGUUACAGGGAAUACAGUUGAGAAGACUUUUAGAGCUGGAAGCUCGCUAGUGAUUCUAAAAAGAUAAAGGGGUAGUAGAAAAUGUAGCGUGAGAAUUUGGAUGCAAAAGAUGAGAGGAGCAAAGAGAGCAUAUAGAAGAAAAUGUGGCCAGCCAGGUAAGUUUGCUUAUAACUGUGUAGAUACCAGCCAUGAACGCCACAGAGAGAGUUACAAGUGUAGUGCCAAGAAGCGGCAUUGCCAGCUUCAUAGCGAGAAUAUCUUUUGUAUGGCACUAGUUUUUCAAAUGGUCAAGCAAUGACGUUAGAUAGAAGUGUAUCAGAUAUAAUUUUAAUUUUAAAUUAGGUAGAACUUAGCAAAUAGAAUCCAAGUUGAUUAAAAGGGCAUGCAUAUGCAUGAAGGAAAAUGGUUCAUGAGACUUAUCAAAAUUGUGUAUAGUCUAUGAAAUCCAGGUCAUUUUUUAGACUGUUAAUAGCUUUUGCUUGUUAAUUUGUUAUUAUACAGUUUUGUAUAUCCAGAUGCUUAAUAUUUUUACUUAUAUGCUUAAAAUUUUAUGAAUUAUUCUCUGGAAAGAAAAAGAAAGGAAAAGCUUUAGAGGGGUUUUCUAGUAAUACGUUAUGUUAUAUCAUGCUAAUAUCUUUUAUUGUUUUGUGCUUGAAUUGAAGGGAUUUCAUGUGGAAUAAGCUGACAGGCACAAUACCAAAGGAGAUUGGGAAUAUUGCAACACUAAAACUCUUGUAAGAACCUAUACCAAAGAAGAUGAAAUUAUUAUAAUU